rnacentral:lncRNA from 1 species
AGGAGCUCAUUUUCGUGGAUCUCCAAGUUUAGGUCGUCUCCCUCUCGAUCUUCAAGAGGUAAGAGCCGAUCUUAAGCUCCUCAUGUUAGGUUUUAUGUGAUUUAUGAACAAUGUGACAUGUUUGAGUAUGCUUGAAGUGUUGUAGUUGGGGUAUUUGAUGUUUUGAGGCCCCUAGGAUCUUGUAUGCAUGUUUUUAAGUGAGGUAUAUGCAUGAUUGGUGAGUUUGGAGGCAAAAUGCACAAAGGAACCGAGUUUCUGC